GGCAGGGGCUCGAGAUGCGCCCGGGGAGGCAGCGCGGAGCCGCCCGCCCGCCCGCCCACACGGCGCUGCACGUGCCCCGAGCCGGCAUGCGGGAGCCCCGGGGCCGCCUGCUCCUUCCCUCCCCACCCCGGCCCCAGAACAGCCGGGACCCGCCUUCUCCGCGCCUCCUGGAUGCUUAGUGCUACCUUUUACACGUGGCUGCUCACUAAUUACCGUACAUUUACUUAGUGUUAAUUAACGCUCAUGUUGCUUACUGUUCUAAUUAUUUCUCAUUCUAGCGGUGCACGAUCGUCAUGACGUUAAUAAGAUGAUUUUUAACAUUAUUAUCAUGACAUUAAUGAAUUGAUUUUUAAAAUCCGUUGGGCGUGCACAACGCGCUCUGCACAUCCAGCUUCCAAAACAGUUGCGUGGGCGCUAGAAACCCUGGGCUGGGCAUCAGCUAAUCGCUAUUAUUGCGGUACUGCUACGUCAUAAUUAUUCUUGAUAUAGUAUUGUAAUUACUGUGACUGGCUAUGUAGUAUUCCUGUUUUUGAGAGCCGGUGUGUUUCCUGCGCUCGAUGGAGGUGAACGACUUCUUUUCUUUUCCCCUCCCCUUUUCUUCAGUUAACUCUGAGUCUGGGUCACCCGCUGCAAUUCGCCCUCCGUGCAUUUCGUGGUUGUGUCGGGGGUGAGAUUUUGGGGAGGUAAAAAUCCUUUUAAAAAUAAAUAAAUCAAUCUCUGGCUGCUUUUCUGGGGGCUGGGGGUGCAUAGUGAAGGUUCAGGGGUGCUCAUCAGGGAGAAGCCCAAAGCUGCCUGCGGGGCCCCGGCUCCUCCAUCCCGCCCACCAGGCUGAAGGUGGUUGCUUAUUCCCAGUUCCUUUUUCAAAGCUAAUCUAGACCCAAUCAAAGCUUGUUGUUAAUGAAUUACACAUUUUAAAUAGAAUUUCGUUGCAUAUUUGUUAAUGAAUAUGCAAAAUAAUAUUCUUCAUCAAGGACAGAGCCCUAAAUAAAGGUCAGAUUAGGAUGGGAUUAUGGGGCAAAUUACUUCUUGGGCCACCCCAAACAGCCUGUUGGCACCACGGGACUGUCCCAGAGCACCUCGACCACAGGAUUGCCCAGCCCAAAGUGCGGUUUGGCCGUGCUGGCUGCCAGCUGACAUCCCCUGCCCCUGUACUAAGUAUGUGGGCGUGAGUUAGGAACUAGUUUUUGGGCUGCGAUUAUAGCCAGAAAUCCUUCUUGGGCCACCCCACGCCAUGCCUCUAUGGCACCGGGGGACUCUCCCGGACACCACUGACCAGUCUGGCCCAGACCAGAGCGUGGUUUCUUCCUGCCAGGCUGCCAACUAACAGCCCCCCAUUCCCAUGGUACUAAGUAUACACGCUUGACUAAGGACCCGGCAUUUGGGCUGAGAUUACAGACUGAAUUGAUGACCAGUGUCUUGCCUGGCCCAGAUGGUGUGGGGUGGCCCAAAAUGGAUUUCCAGCCAUGAUCCCAGCUGUCACCAGAUUUGCCUGUCACUGAUGAGGUGUGUGUGUGAGUGGAGGGGGUGGAAAUAGAAAAAGUCCUUUGUAAAUCCAGCAAGCUGGGUGCCAGGGCUCCCUCAGGACCACAGAGCUGGCAGGCAACACAGCCCCAAAGCCAAUUCCUUAUUCAAGCCCAGAUACUUAGUACAGUGCCUGGGGGGCUGUCAGAUGGAUGCCUGGCAUGAACAAACUUACUUCAGGAUGUGUAAUUCAUUCAUAAGAAGCUUUUAUUGGGUCUAGAUUAGCUUUGAAAAGGGAAAGGGGAACCGAGACUCAGGAAUAAGGAACUGGGAAUCAGCAGCCAACUUCAGCCUCAUUCCCGUGUCGGCAUGGCUGGCAUGAUGGGUCUUCAUUUAUUUUUAACUUUGGUUGUAAACAAGUCGUAGCGGCACCAAAUCCAUCUUUAAAUUUAAAAAAAAACAUAAUCUGGGUAGCUGACUUUGAUUUCCUCCAGCCGGUGGUCAGAAAGAAUAAAAACCCUCAUUUGUCAAAAUUUGCCUCUUUAUUAGCUGGAGUUCGGGGCUGUUUAUUCUGGAUUUGAUCUUUUAUUAUUAUGAUUAUUAUUGUGAUGAUUAGUGGUAUUAUUAGUAUUCUUCUUUCUCCUCCCCACCCCCACCGGUCCUGAGUUAUUUCAGCUCUGCCCAGAGAGCACAUGAUGGGGCAAUGGCCCCCUCCCCUCCUUCCCUCGCAACCACAUAACCGGCCUUCCUAAUGGCUAGAGGCAGGAAGGGGAUUGCUGCUGGGUCCUGCUCACUCAUCAGAGACAAGAUUGGCUCGUGGCUGGUCUGUCUGUCCCCUGUACCUCCCGCGGCCCGAGAGCAGAGGAGGGCUCUUCUCCCUGCCCUCCAUGCAGCUACAGCCAGGUAGCUCUUUCCCUCUGUGAACUGGGUGCUGGGAGUGGUGCUCCAGUGGUGCAGAAAAUGCCAUCCCCUGCCUCUAGCAUGACUUGAAACCAAAAGUCCCAUGGAAGCCAGUGACGGCGAACCUUUAUGGGGUUUUAUUUUCUUUUUUCCAAUCCUCUUCCUUUUACAACGAGGUGUCUAUGAAACGGCAUCUUCACAUUUUCUCUUAACUUUUUAAUCCUGAGCCAUUUUGGUUGUGGCCAGCCUCAGGGCACUCAUGCUUACCAAAUCAAAUGGAGAUGCGCAGAAGUGAGACAGGUUUUCCUGUAGAUUGUCCGAAGAGGCUUCAUCUUUUGUUAAGUGCACUGAUGGCGUCUGUCUUGGGGCGGUGGAUUGUUCUUGGUGCUGUGUAUUGAGCUGGUCCCUGAGGGAAUCAUGAUUAAUUGGUAACUGGUAACAGCCGGGCCUGCGGUGAUCCCAGGUCCCAUGCCUCAAAACAGACACAGUUGCACGAGCACCCAUGUCACGAGUUUUGCCUGUCAGCAGCCAAAGGUGCAGGCCCCCGAGCCCAGAAGCCCUGCGCCGAUCCCCUCGCCAGCUGCCAGGCCUCGUGGCCGCAGCAGGGGCCACCAUCGCUGCAGUUUCCAGCCCGCUGCACCUUAACACACAUGGUCAUCUAUGUCACGAGUUUUGCCUGUCAGCAGCUCGAGGUGCAGUUCCCCCAAAACCCUACACCAAUCAUCUUGAAGCUUGGCAGGUUUCAUGGCCUCGGCGAGGCUACCGCCCCUGCAGUUUUCACCCCGCUGUGGCGUAACACAUACACGCGACAUGAGUUUUGCUUUCAAGAAUGUGGGGUGCAUUUCCCCCGAUCCCCUGCACCGAUCUUCUUGAAACUCGGCAGGCUUCAUGCUCUCAACAGGGGCUACCACCCCUGCAAGCUUCACCCAAAUCAGGCAAAAAACAACAAAGCUGUGGAUAUUUCACUGAUUCCCCAUUAUACCCUAUGGCCGGGUCUCCGAGGCGGCUCCGAAGCUUCCUACUCACACAGGCCGACUCGUGACUACAAUGGACUGCAGAACCCAGAUCUCCUCUAAGCAGGCUUACCUCUAUCGUCACAUCCACAGCUGCCCCAUUCAGGCCAUGGAAAGCUGUCUGUGCACCAGGCAUGGCAGGAUCGGCGCUGGGACAGUUGGCUGUGCCGGCCUCAGAGAAUGGGAGAGCUUUGCAUCUCCCUGGGUGAUUAUAGGGUCAAAUUUCUGAGGACACGUACUUUUGGGGCAUCCUGAAACAAAGACACAUUUUAAUGGGAUGGAAAGAGGGUCAAACCUGUUUCAAAGGAAGUGUAGAGAGAGUGUCUGAUCUUCUGGGGAAGGGAUGUUGACUGUCAGCACGAAGACUUCUUACAUGAGCUCUGUACAAUGGGAAACAGCGACGGAGAAGAGGUGGUGGGAGGUAGCCAGCAAAGUCAGUGACAUUUAGGAGGCAGCAGUGCAGUACUUGGACGUACCAAGUAGUUAUUUCAUCUCCGUGAGCAAUUUUAAUUCUUUUUCAGCAAAAUCUUAAAAACUUGAAGACCUGGACUUCUUCAGCUGUGCCAUCACAAACCUGAAGGAUUACAGGGAAAGGAUUUUUGAGCUGCUUCAGGAGAUCACCUACCUAGAUUGAUUUGAUCAGGAAGAAAGGGAUGAGGAGGAUGAAGCAGAUGAAGACGAAGCUGGUCCACCAGGAGAGUACAAAGAAGAUGAAGAUGAUGGAGGUUCAGAUUUGGGGGAGGGUGAAGAGGAGGAAGAAGCUGGCCUUUCAUACCUGAUGACGGACAGGAUCCAGCUGCUGCUUUUCAUCCCACCGGUAUGGGGCCAUAUGUUGGCUGGCAGACCUGCGCCAGAGUGAAGCCCUGGCCCUUCUUGUUUAUCCAGGCCGUGGUGGUGCAUGGGCCAGGUUGGCGCUUUGCUGCCUGGGCCUUCUUUUGCCCCUUUUGCAGAUUCGGUGAUUCAUAUCACCAUCCCGAUUUGAUUCGGCCGAAUCACCGAAUCAGCCAGGCCAGGUCCAUCCCCAGCCCUCUCCCAGCCCGGCAACGGAUGCUCCAGCUCCCAGCACUUGUAAAAAAAACGCCCUGGCUCAGUGGGUGCUGCCGGACACGGGUGAUCCCUGCUGCCCCCCCACACUGCCCCAUGCUGCAUGGGGGCCUCUGCACAAGCCCCCAACACCCCCCUUCACUCCCCCAACCCUGCCACGGGUGCUCCACAUGGGCCAGCUCCAGCCCUCUAAGAACAAAAAAACCCCAAAAACGCCCCGGGACGGACUGCUCCUGCCAGGGGUUGAGGAGUAAUCCCUGCUGCCCCCCACUUCCCCGCACCAUGUGGGGGCUAUGCACAAGUCCCCGAAGCCCUGAGGCUGCUGCAGGAGCGGCAGCAUGGGGCAGGGGGGGCAGCGGGGAUCGCCCCUGCCCAGCAGCACCCGGUCAGCACUGGAGCUUUGCUUUAAAGUACUGAGCUGGGGGGUGGGGGAGGCACCAU